ACAUUAAAGAGGUCUGAGCAGCAGAAGAAGCAGCAGGAGGCCAAGAAAAUGCACUGACAGGAGAGGAAAGCGCUGCGUUGCCCGGCCGGCCAUCUCAAGUCCAGGCGCAAGCGAGGGCGGCCCUUUCCCUGAGAGGACGGACCACACGGACUCGGGAGCUCCGUCCUCCGCUGGUCAUUGGGAGCACGCGGUGUCCACUGCCGCCUCCGGGGUCAAGAUGAGCAACUUGUCCCGACGCCUCCGGGGUCAGAGCGGCGUCCCCAGGGCGCAAAUGGUGUGCUCCUCCCCCUGAAGAUCAUCCUUUUCCCGGUUUUCAUCAAGUGGACCAGGUGGUUGGUUUUUCACCUUGUGACACGUGAGCCAUGACCUGGGGGUCCUGUGCUGACAUUGAAGGCUGAGCAUGUCCCCAAGCUUCCUCUCACAGGCCGCCUCUCACAGUGGACCACCCGGAGCACACGUGGCUCAGCUCCUGUGCAGCCUUGGUCAUGCAUGUGUGUGUGUGUGUGUGUGCGCUCAUGUGUAUGUGUGUGUGUGUGUGAGAGCUCGUGUGUGUUAUGUGUGUGUGCAUGUGUGUGUGUAAGUAUGCUGGUAGGUGUGCUGCUGGUCUAUAUAUCAGUUGGGAUUUUUAAAAAAAUAUUUUUAUACCAAGAGAAUAUAAAGUAAUGGUAAUAACCUAAAACAAGAAAUGAAAGCUA